CUCCUCUUCAUUUCUAUGUCACUUUUCAUGGAGUAAAUCAAGGAUCUCUUAUUCAAUCACCAAAAGCUCCAAGAAAACGUGAUUUCUAGUUACCUUAAGGCGUAAAAGUGCUUCUGGAAGCUUGUUUUUGGUGCAAUCUCGGACAGCAGCAAAGGAGGUAAGGUUUGGUAAAUUAAUCAAUGAUUGGCUGUGUUCUUGAAGUGUUAAACCAGAUCUUGUUGCUUGAGAUUUGAUUUUGGGUGUAUGUGUGAGGGUUUGAUCAUGGAAACUUGUUGUUUAAUGCUUGAAAAUCAUGUUUAUGAUGGUUUUGAAGUGGCUGUUGGUGCUGCUGGAAAACGUGACAUUCCAGCCAUGAAAAUCAUGAUUUUUGAUGCUUAUUUGAUGUGUAUUUGAUGGCUGAAAAGUUUC